AGCGAACGCUGGCGGCAGGCCUAACACAUGCAAGUCGAACGGACCCUUCGGGGUUAGUGGCGGACGGGUGAGUAACACGUGGGAACGUGCCUUUAGGUUCGGAAUAGCUCCUGGAAACGGGUGGUAAUGCCGAAUGUGCCCUUCGGGGGAAAGAUUUAUCGCCUUUAGAGCGGCCCGCGUCUGAUUAGCUAGUUGGUGAGGUAACGGCUCACCAAGGCGACGAUCAGUAGCUGGUCUGAGAGGAUGACCAGCCACACUGGGACUGAGACACGGCCCAGACUCCUACGGGAGGCAGCAGUGGGGAAUCUUGCGCAAUGGGCGAAAGCCUGACGCAGCCAUGCCGCGUGAAUGAUGAAGGUCUUAGGAUUGUAAAAUUCUUUCACCGGGGACGAUAACGACGGUACCCGGAGAAGAAGCCCCGGCUAACUUCGUG
rnacentral:rRNA from 1 species